GGGGGCGACAGGCUUCGACGUGGAUAUCAAAGCCUAAGGUGCAUGUCGAGCAGGUAACUCCACCUCGUAAAACUGAGUUGCAAAUAAAGUAACUGCAAACGAUAGUAAAUAUCAAGUAGCCGUAGCUGCUUAAAAACCAGCUCCUACCCAUUGCCAAAGCUUGUUUAUGGGCUUUGACCAGUGGUAAUAGCACAUAAAAUCGCAAUUAACUCUGUCUCAGGUUAAUUGUUAAAUUCUUGGCUCGCUUAUUGUUCUUCCUGCCUUGUCGGAAAGCAAUGAGUUAAAUUGAAGACAAGUCUAAACAUGUAGAUGUCUCAGGUCUAGAAUUUGCGGACGCGGGUUCGAUUCCCGCCGCCUCCACCA
rnacentral:tmRNA from 1 species